UAGGGAUACAAGAAGGUGAACUUCCUA
rnacentral:sRNA from 1 species